GACGUAGGGGGCGAACGUUAUCCGGAAUUAUUGGGCGUAAAGGAUGCGUAGAUGGUGUAGGAAGUUAUCGGUGGUAAAUCGAGGCUCAACCUCGUGGAAGUCGGUAAUACUGCUAUGCUAGAGGAUAGGAGAGGUUAACGGAACUCCCUGUGGAGCGGUGAAAUGCGUAGAUAUAGGGAAGAACACCAAUAAGGCGAAGGCAGUUAACUAUUCUAUUCCUGACAUUGAGGCAUGAAAGCGUGGGGAGCAAAACGG
rnacentral:rRNA from 1 species